UGAAGACUCGGAGGCUGGACCAGACGGGGCUGAAGACUCGGAGGCUGGACCAGACGACGCUGAAGACACGGAGGCUGGACCAGACGACGCUGAAGACACGGAGGCUGGACCAGACGGGGCUGAAGACACGGAGGCUGGACCAGACGGGGCUGAAGACACGGAGGCUGGACCAGACGGGGCUGAAGACUCGGAGGCUGGACCAGACGGGGCUGAAGACUCGGAGGCUGGACCAGACGGGCUGAAGACUCGGAGGCUGGACCAGACGGGGCUGAAGACUCGGGGCUGAAGACUCGGAGGCUGGACCAGACGGGGCUGAAGACUCGGGGCUGAAGACUCGGAGGCUGGACCAGACGGGGCUGAAGACUCGGAGGCUGGACCAGACGGGGCUGAAGACUCGGAGGCUGGACCAGACGACGCUGAAGACUCGGAGGCUGGACCAGACGGGGCUGAAGACUCGGAGGCUGGACCAGACGACGCUGAAGACUCGGAGGCUGGACCAGACGGGGCGGCAGCAGGCGAGGGUGAAGACCCGGAGGCUGCCGCAGGCAAGGGUGAAGACCCGGAGGCUGCCGCAGGCGUGGCUGAUGAGGCUGCUGCAGGCGUAGCUGAUGAGGCUGCAGCUGGCGUGGAUGGUGAGGCUGCAGCUGGCGGCGGCGUGGAAGCCGGAGGCAGUGGCGCUGCAGGCGGUGGCGUGGAAGCCGGAGACGGAGGCGCUGCAGGCGGCGGCGUGGAAGCCGGAGACGAAGGUGCCGCAGGCUGGACGGAUCCCUCGGACCCUCCAGCGACGACAGGAGACGAAGGCUGGACGGAUCCCUCGGACCCUCCAGCGGAGACACGAGACGAAGGCCGGAGCGGUCCCUUGGACCCUCCAGCGGAGACACGAGACGAAGGCCGGAGCGGUCCCUCGGACCCUCCAACAGAAGCCAUGACCAAGCCAGCAGUCAUGGAGGCCACUAGCUGACACAGUGGCGACUGACAAUGCACUGAGCACUGGCUCUCCCCAGGCAACGCUGACAUGAAGUGGUUCCCAGGGGGCUGCUCAAUCCUCAGGGGUCCAGAAUCGGCUGGGGACUGAGACCCAGCCUCUGGGGAAGCCCUGGAGUGGCUAACUGUGCCAACGGCGGCUAAACCCUGAAAAGUACACUGCGUAGACAUAAAGCCUUCUCCCUGCAUGGAGUGAA
ensembl:lncRNA